GACGAACCGUGCAAACGUUGUCCGGAAUCACUGGGCGUAAAGGGCGCGUAGGUGGCCUGUGGAAGUCUGCGGUGAAAGCCCGGCGCUCAACGCCGGGUCGGCCGUGGAUACUCUCGGGCUCGAGCUUACUAGAGGCAGAUGGAAUUCCGGGUGUAGCGGUGGAAUGCGUAGAGAUCCGGAAGAACACCGGUGGCGAAGGCGGUCUGCUGGGGUAAUGCUGACACUGAUGCGCGACAGCGUGGGGAGCAAACAGG
rnacentral:rRNA from 1 species